rnacentral:lncRNA from 13 species
CUUUCCGAGACCAGGGAUGAUGCUUUAGUGUAUCCCAUAGUCCUGGAGCACAGAUGCACACAGCAGUUAAGUCACAAAAGCAAUCCCUUCGGUGUCGCCAGCUAACUCUUGCUUUUCUUUGGUGGACCAUUGCAAAGAUGGACUCCGUCCCUGAUUCUAGACUGUCCAGCAUUUUUAUUAGUGCCAUGAGCAGAAAUACAGAAGUUCCCAUUUCCUCAAUUACAGAGGGCAUGGUAGUGGGAGGGAGAGUGGAAAGACCUCCAGUGAAAAAAUCUGAAUCGAAAUGAUGGAGCCACAGAAUGGAAGGGGUGUGGAUCCCUGAAUGACUGCAUGGAGGAGGACUGACCUGCCGACUUCCGUACCUACCCAGGACCACCAGGCAGUAACCUUGGAUCAAAGCUCACAUUCUCUUUUGAAUUCUUACUAAAGGCAGUAAGAGGAAGUCAACGCGUCUUGAUUCUAUGACAUUUGCCAACAAAUAUUCUGAAGCAUUGGCCUCAGUAGGCACGUGGUCUAACAGGAAUUACUAGCUUUCUUCCUUGGAUGGAGGAAUCUUGAGAACUAUCACCACCCUCCUCCCUACAAAUCCAGCCAGUUCCAUAUGUUUGGGUCAGCUACUUGCAAUUAAUUUCUGAUUUUUCUGAGUUAUAAAUAUUUUGCCUACAAGUAAUAGAAACCACGAAGCAUCAGGGGAAUUUUUUGACAGUUACUGAGUUGGCUUAUGGACUUUAAAUAUGAGAUGCAGAGACUAAACACCAUCUGGGGUUGUCUUCCUGGAUACACGAAUAAAUAGAUGUUUCUGUUUCUUCUUCA